rnacentral:tRNA from 1 species
AUUUAUAUAGUAUAAAAGUAUAUAUGACUUCCAAUCAUAAGGUUUAUUUAUAAAAAUAAUAUAAAUA